CAACUUUCAACACCGGAUCUCUUGGCUCUCGCAUCGAUGAAGAACGC
rnacentral:rRNA from 1 species